rnacentral:rRNA from 1 species
UACAGAGGUCCCAAGCGUUGUUCGGAUUCACUGGGCGUAAAGGGUGCGUAGGUGGUGAGGUAAGUCGGAUGUGAAAUCUCCGAGCUCAACUCGGAAAUUGCAUUGGAAACUACCUUGCUUGAGGGUUGGAGGGGGACUGGAAUGCUUGGUGUAGCAGUGAAAUGCGUAGAUAUCAAGCGGAACACCAGUGGCGAAGGCGAGUCCCUGGACACACCUGACACUGAGGCACGAAAGCUAGGGGAGCAAACAGG